rnacentral:rRNA from 1 species
GAUGAACGCUAGCUACAGGCUUAACACAUGCAAGUCGAGGGGAAACGAUAGAGAAAGCUUGCUUUUUCUAGGCGUCGACCGGCGCACGGGUGAGUAACGCGUAUCCAACCUGCCCAUCACUUGGGGAUAACCUUGCGAAAGUAAGACUAAUACCCAAUGACGUCUCUAGAAGACAUCUGAAAGAGAUUAAAGAUUUAUCGGUGAUGGAUGGGGAUGCGUCUGAUUAGCUUGUUGGCGGGGUAACGGCCCACCAAGGCGACGAUCAGUAGGGGUUCUGAGAGGAAGGUCCCCCACAUUGGAACUGAGACACGGUCCAAACUCCUACGGGAGGCAGCAGUGAGGAAUAUUGGUCAAUGGACGAGAGUCUGAACCAGCCAAGUAGCGUGCAGGAUGACGGCCCUAUGGGUUGUAAACUGCUUUUAUAAGGGAAUAAAGUGAGUCUCGUGAGACUUUUUGCAUGUACCUUAUGAAUAAGGACCGGCUAAUUCCGUGCCAGCCGCCGCGGUAACAC